UCCGUAGGUGAACCUGCGGAGGGAUCANUACAGAGUUUUUAACUCCUAAAACCAUGUGAACUUACCACUGUUGCCUCGGUGGAAGGUACCCGAAAGGGUGCUGGAAGCCGGCGGACAUCUAAACUCUUGUUAAUUUUUGUUAUUCUGAAUCAAACUAAGAAAUAAGUUAAAACUUUCAACAACGGAUCUCUUGGUUCUGGCAUCGAUGAAGAACGCAGCGAAAUGCGAUAAGUAAUNUGAAUUGCAGAAUUCAGUGAAUCAUCGAAUCUUUGAACGCACAUUGCGCCCAUUAGUAUUCUAGUGGGCAUGCCUGUUCGAGCGUCAUUUCAACCCUUAAGCCUAGCUUAGUGUUGGGAGNCUGCNUAAUACGCAGCUCCUCAAAACCAGUGGCAGAGUUUUUANGUACUCUGAGCGCAGUAAUUCUAUUCUCGCUUUUGAACNCNUCUGGACGAUAGCCAAAAACCGCUUGCCUCGGCAGC
rnacentral:rRNA from 1 species